UAGUGAUAAUCGGGAGAUGUAUGGAAGCAAACCCAUCAUUAUUCGCCAUGUGGACCAAAUACAAGAAGUUGAUGAUGUUGAGGAUGAUGAUGAUGAUUCUUAUGAAUAAACGAAUUGAAUGGAUGUUUGAAGUGUAUUAUUUCCACAGGGUUAUAUUAGCAAGGAUUUGCAGUGUGCCCAAUUCAUAGGAGUCUGCUUCUGGUGAUUCAUACAAUUUGAAGUUUGCUUUUUAGUUAUCAUUGAAAUACUGAAUUCAUAAAGCUUUACUUUUUGUUGUUUGGAAUGAUGAUUGUGUUGUGUAUAAUGCUGUAAACUAUUGAGUUUAUUUUAUAAGAAU